GGAUGCGAUCAUACCAGCACUAAAGCACCGGAUCCCAUCAGAACUCCGAAGUUAAGCGUGCUUGGGCGAGAGUAGUACUUGGAUGGGUGACCUCCUGGGAAGUCCUCGUGUUGCAUUCC
rfam:Triticum aestivum genome assembly, contig: Triticum_aestivum_CS42_TGACv1_scaffold_402860_5AS